rnacentral:rRNA from 1 species
UGAUCCUGGCUCAGAUUGAACGCUGGCGGAAUGCUUUACACAUGCAAGUCGAGCGGCAGCGCGGGGCAACCUGGCGGCGAGCGGCGAACGGGUGAGUAACAUAUCGGAACGUAUCCUUUAGUGGGGGAUAACGCAGCGAAAGCUGUGCUAAUACCGCAUACGAUCGGGAGAUGAAAGCGGGGGAUCGCAAGACCUCGCGCUAAAGGAGUGGCCGAUAUCAGAUUAGCUAGUUGGUGAGGUAAAGGCUCACCAAGGCGACGAUCUGUAGCUGGUCUGAGAGGAUGAUCAGCCACACUGGAACUGAGACACGGUCCAGACUCCUACGGGAGGCAGCAGUGGGGAAUUUUGGACAAUGGGGGCAACCCUGAUCCAGCCAUUCCGCGUGAGUGAAGAAGGCCUUCGGGUUGUAAAGCUCUUUUGUCGGGGACGAAACGGUUACGAUUAAUACUCGUGACAACUGACGGUACCCGAAGAAUAAGCACCGGCUAACUACGUGCCAGCAGCCGCGGUAAUACGUAGGGUGCGAGCGUUAAUCGGAAUUACUGGGCGUAAAGCGUGCGCAGGCGGUUUUGUGAGCCAGAUGUGAAAUCCCCGGGCUUAACCUGGGAAUGGCAUUUGGGACUGCAAGGCUAGAGUAUGGCAGAGGAGACUAGAAUUUCUGGUGUAGCAGUGAAAUGCGUA